GCAGUCGCGGCCGAGUGGUUAAGGCGAUGGACUAGAAAUGUAUUGGGGUCUCCCCACACAGGUUAGAAUCCCGUCGACUGCG
rfam:Ixodes scapularis strain Wikel colony gcontig_1108378350354, whole genome shotgun sequence.